rnacentral:tRNA from 1 species
GUCAGGGUAGCUCACGCUGGAGAGCAGAGGACUG